GUGCUUCAAAUUUACUUUACGGACCUUUAAAGUCUGACUGAUCACCUAUAUCACUGUCAUACUGAAACUCUCUUCAGAAGGCAAUUUUUUGCUACUUUGUGUUGUGUGUAAUCAUUGAGCUCGUUUGUGUUGUAGUAUGUAAUCUUUAAGCUACUCUGUGUUUUGUGUAAACUGCAGAACUACUUUAAUUUGUUUUUGUGUACUCUAAACUAAUAUAUUUCAUUUGUUAUCUUUCAGAGUACUAAACCACUACUCUAACUCUCCUAUUUUUCCCUGACUUUUGAUCACAGUCUCUUCUCAAUUAAUUAUGUCUUACCAUAAAAGAUACAGGCAGAUACAACGUGAGCUCAAGGAACUGUUGGUUAGUAGUAGUGAAGAGGAAGCUGACUGGGUUCAUCAAAACACCAAAAUUCCCAAACUUUACCAUAAUAACUCUGACCCAUCUUUAAGCUUUUCUGACCAGGACAGUUGUGAAAGUACAUCCUUAUCCCCCUUGAUAGUAACUGCACCAGAAGAAUUAAGCACAGAUGAUGAGAGUCACCACCAUAUAUCUGAUUUGGCACUUGAAGAAGGAUUAGCUUUAUGGGCAUCAAAAAAUAACAUUACACGCCAGGCAGCAAAUGAAUUAUUGGAGCUGUUGAGGAAUAAUGGGCAUAAUCUACCUAAAGAUUCACGCACUUUGAUGGAAACUCCAAGGUAUGUAGAGGUAUUAGAAAAAUGUGGAGGACACUAUUAUUAUUUUGGGAUUGGUUCAUGUUUGCAAAAUAUAUUGAAGACUCAUCCAGCAUUUGUAAAAGAAAAUGAUUCGGUUAAACUCAGUGUAAACAUAGAUGGUAUUCCUUUACAUAAAUCAAGCAAUGAACAGUUCUGGCCUAUACUGAUAAAGUUCAGCUGCUUUAAGCCAGCAUUAGUUGCUCUGUAUUGUGGAAAGACUAAACCAGAUUCUAUUGACAGUUUUUUGGAAGAUUUUCUUCAAGAAUAUAAGCAACUUUCUGAAAAUGGUUUAGUUUUUGAAGGGAAAAGACUGGCAGUAAGAAUAGUUGCAUUUAUUUGUGAUGCACCUGCACGCUCAUUUAUCAAAUGCAUAAAAGGGCACAAUGGGUAUUACUCAUGUGAGAGAUGUGAAAUUAAAGGAACCUGGCAAUCACAUGUUCUUGUAUUAGACUCUGCACAACCCUGUAAUGAAAGAUCUGAUGAGAAAUUCAAUCAGGAACAGUACAGGGAUUCUCAUCAGUUAGGAAAAAGUCCUUUGAUUCAGUAUGGAAUAUCUUGCGUGAAAGGGUUUCCACUGGAUUACAUGCAUAUGAUUUGCCUUGGUGUUACCAGAAGAAUGCUACUUUUCCUCAUAAGAGGUUCUAAGAAAUGCAAACUCUCUCAGCUUCAAAUAAGUUUAAUUUCUUCUUCUUUAGAGAGUCUUUCCAACAAACUACCAAGUGAAUUUGCUAGACAGCCACGAUCACUAGCUGUAAUUGAUCGCUGGAAGGCCACCGAAUUUAGACAGUAUAUAUUAUACACAAGUAUUGUUGUCCUGAAAGAUGUUGUUCCUGAUAUUAUAUACAAAAACAGUCUUUUGCUUACUGUGUCCUUAUCAGUUUUAUUGAAUUCCAAUGAUGAAAUACGAAAUUCUUACUUCCCAUAUGCAUGAGAAUUACUUAAGUGUUUUGUACAACAGUGUCGAGAUAUAUAUGGUCAAAGUUUUAUUGUAUAUAAUGUUCAUAAUCUUCUUCACUUGGUAGAUGAUGUAGAGAAUUACCAGUGUUCCCUUAAUGACAUUUGUGCUUUCCCUUACGAGAAUGAACUUCACAAAAUAAAGCAGUUAGUGAGGUCAUCAAACAAUCCAGUUUCUCAAGUUUUCAAAAGACUUGCAGAAAAGAAAAUGUUUAAUGAAUCAAAAGUGACAGAAGCUAAUCACAGAAUAUAUAUAUCUACAAAAUACAAAAAUAAUUGUUUCAUGUUAAAAAAUGAAGAUUUUGUGUUCCUUAGGAAACUAAAAAAUGAUGUCUACUAUGAAUGUGAUGUUCUUCGUCAAAGCCAAACUGAAAAUUUUUUUACUGAACCAUGCAAUUCUAAACUCAUUAACAUUGUGUUUAUGAAAAAUAAGAGUAAUUUAAAAAAGAAAGUAAUUCACUUAGAGCAGCUGCAUAGAAAGGUGAUAAAAUUGCCAUACAAAGAUGGUGUUGUUUUAGUACCAGUUGUACAUGACAUUUCCAGUUAGGUGGGCAGUUGUACAUGGUGUAUUCUCAUGACUGAUAUGUGUUUACUAAAGAGAAGUUAAGCAAAACGUUUCAGAUCUGCAGGAUUUUAGUCUUCUUACACAAGUUGUAUUUGUUAUGUAUCUCUCUUAUGGCCAUUGUUCUUUAUCUCAAAACUGUUCAUCUGCAUCUUCACUCUCCUCUUCGUCUCCCUUGUGCCUUGUGUGCCAGUACAGCCCGGAGUGCUGCUCUUCGGCUUAUGAAGAGGAUUUUGUCAGGUUGAGACAUGGAAUGUGGAAACGAGCAGUUUGGUUGGAGGGUAAGAAAGAAGAAGAGGGUGUGGUGCCAUCCAGCUGGGUAUUAGAAGAGAACCAAACCUUGUUUUGGCCACAAGGAGUUAAUGCUGAGAAUGCCCUUCAUAAUCAGCAAGAACCAGACCCUGCAUCAUGGAGAAAGUUUAUGUUGAAAAAAGUGAAGAUCACUUCUGUUUUCAAGAAUGCGAUACCUACCAUCUGACAUCUACGGUGGAGAGUUCUGAGAGCAACAGUGAUCCUGAUGAAGGUCUACUCAUGAGAAAAAGGAGAAAACGUUGUAAGAAAAAUCUGCCUGAUGACUUUGUCAGCAGUGAAAACUUACAUGAAGCUGUCCACAUGAAGCCAGCCUCACAGAAGCCACAGGUCACAACCUCUCAAGAUAAGGUAGCUUCUGCUCCUUCACAGGUUGUACUUCCAACACCUCCUCCUAAGGUGUCUUUGGAUAUGCGGUCCACCAGAACCCAUGGGAUGGCAGUAAAGAGGAUCCGUUAAACUAUAGGCCAGUGUCAUUAACAAGCAUAGUGGCCAAGAUGUGAAAAAAAAAAAAAAAACAUAUAUAUAAAGGACAGUUGGGUUAAAUAUUUAGAAAAUUGAGAAACUGAAAAUGGUUGUGGGAAACUACCUACUAUGCCAUGCAAUAUAAGGCUCCAUCCACUCUAGCGGGCAGAAGCGAGUUGUUUGCCCGCCGACAUUUUCUCCACUUUUGCAAAAGACGAGUAAACUGCCUGUGACAGAAGAUGAGGAAUUUCAUCGGGCAUAGCCCGUUGCACCUGGCAGUACACCACUGCCAGACAUACAAGGUACAUUGGGAGCUUUGGAUCCAUGGCUGUCAGUUUGCCAGGGAAGUACAUACGGCUACACCAGAUGGUCAUGUCUACCCCUCCAUCCGGCUAGAAUCAGUGGUCUCAUGUUGUCGUACCGCAGUCUUCAUCAGAUUAAAGAGAUCCUCUGCCUGACUGCACGGGUGCUCGUCUCUUGACUGGGGCUCAAGGGGCCUAGGCAGGCAGGCAUUGCCACGUGGACGUAAGCUUCUGUGUGCCCGGAGGGAUUUACCCGCUAGUGUGGACGGAGCCUAAUACGUAAUGAAUAUAACAGUGCAAUAAUGUUCCAGGGUAUAUCAACUAGGUCUAUGCACUUAAUAUUGUUAUGUUCAACUUUGUCAUUUUGGGUACUAAUCACUACAUACAAUUCCUCAUAGUGAUAAGGAUUAGAACUUACUAGUUAGAGGGAAGCUGGAUUCAGCAUCUUCCUGGCUACCUUUGUGAUUCUUUUGAUUGUCAUUACAAGGGUCACACCUGCUCUUGUUGUCUCUCUGGUUGUGUCUAUCACGUCUAUUGUCCCAGUCAUAGUGGUCAUGACUUCUAUUUUGAUAGUGUUUUUCAUAUCUCCUCUCCUGCUGGCCAGGGCUAUCACUUCGGUCAGGUGUGUCAAGCUGUCUCCUGUCACCUUGGUCAUGGCUUCUUCUUCGGUAAAGUGUGUCAUGGUGCCUCUUGUCAUGCUGGUCGGGACUGUCACUAUAGUAAGAUAGGUGGUCGGGACUGUCACCUUGGUCAUGGCUUCUUCUUCGGUAAGAUGUGUCAUGGUGCCUCUUGUCAUGCUGGUCGGGACUGUCACUAUAGUAAGAUAGGUGGUUGGGACUGUCACCUUGGUCAUGGCUUCUUCUUCGGUAAGGUGUGUCAUGAUGUCUCCUGUCACCUUGGUCAUGGCUUCUUCUUCGGUGAGGUGUGUCAUGGUGUCUCCUGUCACCUUGGUCAUGGCUUCCUCUUCGGUGAGGUGUGUCAUGGUGUCUCCUGUCACCUUGGUCAUGGCUUCCUCUUCGGUGAGGUAUGUCAUGGUGUCUCCUGUCACCUUGGUCAUGGCUUCCUCUUCGGUGAGGUGUGUCAUGGUGGUCGGGACUGUCACCUUGGUCAUGGCUUCUUCUUCGGUGAGGUGUGUCAUGGUGUCUCCUGUCAUGGUGGUCAAGAUUGUCACCUCGAUCAUGGUUUCUUUUUUGGUAAGGCGUGUCAUGAUGUCUCCUGUCAUGCUGGCCACUGCCAUCACUGUUGUCAGAUGACUUGGAUGUCUUGCUGGAUACCGAAUCUUUUGUUGCACUGCACUCCAUCAUCCCAUGGGUUCUGGUGGACCGCAUAUCCAAAGACACCUUAGGAGGAGGUGUUGGAAGUACAACCUGUGAAGGAGCAGAAGCUACCUUAUCUUGAGAGGUUGUGACCUGUGGCUUCUGUGAGGCUGGCUUCAUGUGGACAGCUUCUGUGGAAAAAUCAUUACAUAUUACAAAGACACGAAAAAAAAAAAAAAAACUGUGAAAGGGCUUGGUGUUGGGGGCUGUCAAAGACAAAUAAAAGGAGUCAGUGAAUAGUCCGGGAAAACCCUUCACCUGUAAAUGUUUACAGUCAGACACUUUGUAGACAAAAAUGAGAUUGAAGAAAUUUGCUAACCAAACCACUUUGUGUUUUCCCAGCUAUCCCCCACCUCUCAGUUCUCUCAGUUUGUCAAUCUAAUUAUUAAUGAACAAUAGUAUUGCUGUUGUAUUCACUGUUAUGAUUUUCUUCUUUCAUAAAUUGUUUUCAAAUAUGACCAGGUAUGCCUACCAUGUAAGUUUUCACUGCUGACAAAGUCAUCAGGCAGAUUUUUCUUACAACGUUUUCUCCUUUUUCUCAUGAGUAGACCUUCAUCAGGAUCACUGUUGCUCUCAGAACUCUCCACCGUAGAUGUCAGAUGGUAGGUAUCGCAUUCUUGAAAACUAUCUGAGGAUGAUGGAGUGCAGUGCAACAAAAGAUUCGGUAUCCAGCAAGACAUCCAAGUCAUCUGACAACAGUGAUGGCAGUGGCCAGCAUGACAGGAGACAUCAUGACACGCCUUACCAAAAAAGAAACCAUGAUCGGGGUGACAAUCUUGACCACCAUGACAGGAGACACCAUGACACACCUCACCGAAGAGGAAGCCAUGACCAAGGUGACAGGAGACACCAUGACACACCUCACCGAAGAGGAAGCCAUGACCAAGGUGACAGGAGACACCAUGACACACCUCACCGAAGAAGAAGCCAUGACCAAGGUGACAGGAGACAUCAUGACACACCUUACCGAAGAAGAAGCCAUGACCAAGGUGACAGUCCCAACCACCUAUCUUACUAUAGUGACAGUCCCGACCAGCAUGACAAGAGGCACCAUGACACAUCUUACCGAAGAAGAAGCCAUGACCAAGGUGACAGUCCCGACCACCUAUCUUACUAUAGUGACAGUCCCGACCAGCAUGACAAGAGGCACCAUGACACACUUUACCGAAGAAGAAGCCAUGACCAAGGUGACAGGAGACAGCUUGACACACCUGACCGAAGUGAUAGCCCUGGCCAGCAGGAGAGGAGAUAUGAAAAACACUAUCAAAAUAGAAGUCAUGACCACUAUGACUGGGACAAUAGACGUGAUAGACACAACCAGAGAGACAACAAGAGCAGGUGUGACCCUUGUAAUGACAAUCAAAAGAAUCACAAAGGUAGCCAGGAAGAUGCUGAAUCCAGCUUCCCUCUAACUAAAUUUCAGAAGCGAGUGUUACAACUUCUGCUGGACAUCAGGAAAACUGUUUCGGAUACGAGCACAUGUGGUGGUAAACCAGCUGACACAGCUUGUACUCUUACAAUCAAACGGAAUAAUUCCCUGGAAGAAGUGCAGAAUCUAGAGGAUAAAUUGGUUAAUCCCAGUUAUUUCAUGGAAGUGUGCAACCAGUGCGUCCGCAUAGGUGGCUAUAAUAAGAGAGAUAUGGUCUCUAAUUUGAUGUGCAGGUUUAUGACCAAAAACCUCAUGUGUCAGUAUAACAUGCUUGGGCAGAGAGGCAAGUUGUCUUUUAGAAAAACAAAGUUAUACAAUGUGAUUCAGGAGAGCGUGCUUAAAAAGUUCUCAGAUUCAAAUGUGACAGAAAUACAAAUGAUAGUUGCAGCAAAAUUGCGUAAUGCUCCAAAAUUGAAAAAUGAAAAUUAGCUGAUGUAAAAUGGUACUUACAAUCAGUUAAGAUCUGCAAGAAUGUUAAAACAAACCAAUCUUUGUCUCAUGCAUGACCUUGGUGAAGUAAAGUAUUUUCAUACCAAGAUGAACUGCAAUAGCGCAGUGAAAAAUCUAGUCAUACCCACUGCCACCAGGAGUCUAACCCGGGUCUCUUGAGUGAGAGCCAGACAGCAAGACCACUACACCACUGUGGUGUAGGGGUCUUGCUGCCUGGCUCUCACUCAAGAGACCCGGAUUCGACUUCUGGUGGCAGUGGGUAUGACUAGAUAAAGUAUUUUCAUUUUGUAUGUUACUAAAAAAAUGCUGGUAAAUUUAUCUCAUGACUGAUUGUACACAGAUGACCUUAUAUAUUGUAACUAUGUGUACAUUUCCCUUCCUCCCCCCUCUCUCUCUCUCUUAAAGAAGCUCUUUUUCUAUCAGAAUGACAAAAUUUAUUGAUGUGUAAACAGUAUAAGGGGGGAUGUUAGAGAAGCUUAAGAAUGAAAGAACCAGGACCGCCGAGAACCGAACCUCAGACAAGCUGUUCCCGCCACCACGCUUACCUGGUCCUGGUUCUUUCAACUUGUCGUUAUGGGAUUCAAGCUUAAGAAUGGUUUUAAGAUGUGGAGAGAGACUUACUGCUGUAAAAUUUGAACCGAUUGGGAUAUUACCUCAUGAUAUUUAUGUGAGAUGAUAUUAAUGAUCUCAGAUUAUAAAAGCAAACUAGUAUUAUUAACAGUGAUUUAUUUUGUAAUUUAGUAAUAGAUAUAACAUUUUAAUUUAUAAUUUUGCUUUUGCCUACCACUUAGGUUUCCAUGUAUUUUUACGUAAAUGAAAAAGUAUGGAGCUACACAAGUAUCAAUUCACAAAAUGCUUAAUUUCAUUGACAACUGUGGUCUGUAUUGUUUUAAGCAUAUUGUGUACUUGUGGCAGGCCUGGUAUUCUUUGCAUAUAUUCCCCCUGGGGCUACAUAGAUACUAGAAUGUAGCCCUCUCCAUGUUGGCUGUGUGCCGUAAGAGGCGACUGAUUCUGGCCCUGGGUGGGGAUCUCUUUUACUAGCCCAUAGCAGGUCUUUUUACCGCUUGACAUAUUUUCCCUUCUCAUUUCCCUUUGCUUUCUGUCCAUUUUCUUUUACGUUCUCUUACUUUUCCGAGUGGUGGGCUGACUCUUUGUCAGAGUGAGGGUUGGUGUCCUUUACUUCCCAUAGCCAUUUCUGUCUUUCUCUUGUUCUAUAUACCUCUACUGUUUAGGGUGACACUAGGCUGGGGAUCUGCCCAUUCUUCUCUACCUUUUAUAGUCCCACUUGUGGCACAUGCCCAGGGAUAAUGCUAGGCACAAGUGCCAUGGGAACCCAUUUAUUGAGUCGUGGCCCGGGAUGGCGGAUGGUCACCCUCACAGUUCAAGGGUGGUUUCUGCUGUUCUGGACCAUGGCAUGGGGAGGUAAUGCAUAGGAGCAGGUGUCAGGCUAUGGAUGGAUUGUGGCUAAACAAAGUUUUAAUUUUUUGUAUUACUGGGAUCAUCCAUUUAUAUAUUGCAGUUAUUCUUCAUUCAAGUCAGAUAUCUUGAAAGCCUUUAUAUAUAAAAAUGCAAGCACUAACUUUUUUUUUUUUUUCAUAAAAUAUGGAAAUUAUUUUGGUUUUGAUAUUUUUACAAGGAUGAAGAUUAUUAAAUUUAUGAAAAAGUGUAAGACUGAAGAAUAUAUAUAUACACACUUUCUGUA